CCUACGGGAGGCUGCAGUGGGGAAUAUUGCACAAUGGGGGAAACCCUGAUGCAGCGACGCCGCGUGAAGGAAGAAGUAUUUCGGUAUGUAAACUUCUAUCAGCAGGGAAGAAAAUGACGGUACCUGACUAAGAAGCGCCGGCUAACGACGUCCCAGCAGCCGCGGGAAUACGUAGGGGGCACGCGUUCUCCGGAUUUACUGGGUGUAAAGGGAGCGUAGGCGGCGAUGCAAGUCAGAAGUGAAAGCCCGGGGCUCAACUCCGGGACUGCAUUUGAUACUGUGUUGCUAGAUUGCAGGAGAGGUAAGUGGAAUUCCUAGUGUAGCGGUGAAAUGCGUAGAGAUUAGGAGGAACACCAGUGGCGAAGGCGACUUAUUGGACUGUAAAUGACGCUGAGGCUCGAAAGCGUGGGGAGCAAACAGGAUUAGAUACCCUUGUAGUC
rnacentral:rRNA from 1 species